rnacentral:rRNA from 1 species
UGGGGAAUAUUGCACAAUGGGCGCAAGCCUGAUGCAGCCAUGCCGCGUGUGUGAAGAAGGCCUUCGGGUUGUAAAGCACUUUCAGCGAGGAGGAAGGUGGUGAACUUAAUACGUUCGUCAAUUGACGUUACUCGCAGAAGAAGCACCGGCUAACUCCGUGCCAGCAGCCGCGGUAAUACGGAGGGUGCAAGCGUUAAUCGGAAUUACUGGGCGUAAAGCGCACGCAGGCGGUUUGUUAAGUCAGAUGUGAAAUCCCCGGGCUCAACCUGGGAACUGCAUUUGAAACUGGCAAGCUAGAGUCUCGUAGAGGGGGGUAGAAUUCCAGGUGUAGCGGUGAAAUGCGUAGAGAUCUGGAGGAAUACCGGUGGCGAAGGCGGCCCCCUGGACGAAGACUGACGCUCAGGUGCGAAA